GGCUCCGGCACAUGUGCCUCAAUGCCCGAUCUCAUCUGACCUUAGAAGCUAAGCAGAGUCAGGUCUGGUUAGUACUUGGAUGGGAGACCACUUAAGAAUACCAGGUGCUGUAAGCU
rfam:Scleropages formosus scaffold42041, whole genome shotgun sequence.